GUCCUACGGGAGGCAGCAGUGGGGAAUAUUGCACAAUGGGGGGAACCCUGAUGCAGCGACGCCGCGUGAAGGAAGAAGUAUCUCGGUAUGUAAACUUCUAUCAGCAGGGAAGAAAGAGGACAGUACCUGACUAAGAAGCCCCGGCUAACUACGUGCCAGCAGCCGCGGUAAUACGUAGGGGGCGAGCGUUAUCCGGAUUUACUGGGUGUAAAGGGAGCGUAGACGGUACGCCAAGUCCGAAGUGAAAUGCCGCAGCUUAACUGCGGAACUGCUUUGGAAACUGGCGGGCUGGAGUGCGGGAGGGG
rnacentral:rRNA from 1 species